GUCUACGGCCAUGCUACCCUGAACAAGCCCGAUCCCGUCUGAUCUCGGAAGCUAAGCAGGGUUGGGCCUGGUUAGUACUUGGAUGGGAGACCACCUAGGAAGACCAGGUGCUGUAGGCG
rnacentral:rRNA from 1 species